GAUGAACGCUGGCGGCGUGCCUAAUACAUGCAAGUCGAGCGAACAGACGAGGAGCUUGCUCCUCUGACGUUAGCGGCGGACGGGUGAGUAACACGUGGAUAACCUACCUAUAAGACUGGGAUAACUUCGGGAAACCGGAGCUAAUACCGGAUAAUAUAUUGAACCGCAUGGUUCAAUAGUGAAAUACGGUUUUGCUGUCACUUAUAGAUGAUCCGCGCCGCAUUAGCUAGUUGGUAAGGUAACGGCUUACCAAGGCGACGAUGCGUAGCCGACCUGAGAGGGUGAUCGGCCACACUGGAACUGAGCCGCGGACCAGACUACUACGGGAGGCAGCAGUAGGGAAUCUUCCGCAAUGGGCGAGAGCCUGACGGAGCAGCGCGGCGUGAGUGAUGAAGGUCUUCGGAUCGUAAAACUCUGUUAUUAGGGAAGAACAAAUGUGUAAGUAACUAUGCACGUCUUGACGGUACCUAAUCAGAAAGCCACGGCUAACUACGUG
rnacentral:rRNA from 1 species